GGCGAGGAGUUUGCGACGGAUUCCUUCGGGAUGAAGACGCAAACUGCCNNGCGGCGGACGGGUGAGUAACGCGUGAGGAACCUACCUUCCACAAGGGGAUAGCCUCGGGAAACCGGGAUUAAUACCCUAUGAUACCUGGAAGUCGCAUGACUUACAGGUUAAAGCGCAAAGCGGUGGAAGAUGGCCUCGCGUCCCAUUAGCUAGUUGGUGAGGUAACGGCUCACCAAGGCAACGAUGGGUAGCCGGCCUGAGAGGGUGACCGGCCACACUGGGACUGAGACACGGCCCAGACUCCUACGGGAGGCAGCAGUGGGGAAUAUUGCACAAUGGGCGGAAGCCUGAUGCAGCGACGCCGCGUGAGCGAAGAAGGCCUUCGGGUCGUAAAGCUCUGUCCUAUGGGACGAUAAUGACGGUACCAUAGGAGGAAGCCCCGGCUAACUACGUGCCAGCAGCCGCGGUAAUACGUAGGGGGCGAGCGUUGUCCGGAAUUACUGGGCGUAAAGGGUACGUAGGCGGCUAGGUAAGUCAGAUGUGAAAGGCAUGGGCUUAACCCAUGUAAGCAUUUGAAACUGCUUAGCUUGAGUCGAGGAGAGGAAAGCGGAAUUCCUGGUGUAGCGGUGAAAUGCGUAGAUAUCAGGAGGAACACCAGUGGCGAAGGCGGCUUUCUGGCCUUGGACUGACGCUGAGGUACGAAAGCGUGGGGAGNCAACAGGAUUAGAUACCCUGGUAGUCCACGCCGUAAACGAUGAGUGCUAGGU
rnacentral:rRNA from 1 species